rnacentral:lncRNA from 1 species
UCUUGCUCUUUCACCCAGGCUAGAGUGCAGUGGUGUGAUCUCGGCUCGCUGCAACCUCCGCCUCCCAGGUUCAAGCGAUUCUUCUGCCUCAGCCUCCCAAGUAGCUGGGAUUACAGGCAUGCACCACCACAUCUGGCUAAUUUAUGUAUUUUUAGCAGACAUGGGGUUUCACCAUCUUGGCUAGGCUGGUCUUGAACUCCUGACCUCCUGAUCCAUCGCGGCCUCCCAAAGUGAUAAGCAUUUUUUUUUAAAGAAAAAGUCUACCAUUGUUUCCAUUACUGCCAAAAUUUACCAUGUCAAUUUUCUGAAGUCCAGUUUUAUUACCAAAAUCAAUUUGUUUUGUAUUUUAUAGCAAUUUUUGAUAGAAAGCAUGGCCAAAUGACAUUGCCUAAGCAGUUUAAAAAUAUUUCAUAAACUUUGUAAGAGAGGUAAACAAUUGCUAUUCUCUUUUAUUAACCCCCUUAACCCAAAAGAGAAAGGGGUACAAGUCCAUGAUAAUAAUGGCUAAUAUUUGUCGAACACAUAAGGGUGGGCCAUUUACUGUGCUAGGCAUUUCUAUCUAUUCCCUCACUUAAGCAUCAUGACUCUGUGAGGAAGGUGCUCUCAUGCCGGUGUUACAAGAGGAGACUGAUGCUUAGAAACAUGAAGUAACCUCCCUGAAGUAGCACAGCUCUUAAGUGAUAAAUCAGGGAGUCAAAACCCAUCUCUAGACUCCAGAAACUGACUUUUUAAACUGUUACUCCUCUGUGUUAUUCUAUUUUCAAAUUGCAUUGAAAACACUUCUACCCAAAAUUGGCACAUUUAAUGUAAACAUAAGCAUGGUAUCAUUACAUCGAAAAGAGAUGAAUAAUUCAUUUAAUUCAUUUAUUUUUCUUCGGCUUUUUGCUAUUUUUCUUAUUUGCUCAGGUCCCCCUCAUAAUCCUGUGGCGAAUUCCAGCCCUGGUAGCUCUCAGGCAGAAACCAGCUAUACAAUGUAGUUGCCUCUGCCAAUACACUGCUGUGGUAGCUAGCAUUGUUCCCCAAACUACUUUUUAUAAAAUCAUUUUUGAUUUAGGGCCAGAGUUGUUUCUGAGCUUGAUACAUAUGAAAGUUGCAGGUCAGGGAUAAAUGGAGCUAUAACGUAAUUCAGAAUUACUCAAGAUUCCUUCACAGGAAUCUCAUUUCAGGGAAAUACUACUGCAUGCUUAGGAAACUUUCAGCAACGUGACUUAAGUUUUCCUCAAAAAUGACUUAGAUAAUUUUAGUGUGGUUUUUUUUCAACUGUAUUUAGUUCAUAUCAUAGUGAGUCUUUCUGCCCUUCUGCUACAGGCUUUGAAUUGGGUAUUCUCACGGAGUCAAAACAAAAACACAUGAGGGUAUUUUCUGUAAAAAGCUUAAGUGAGUUGAGGAUACUCGAAAAGGUUGCUCAAAUCCUGUCUUCUGAUAUGUUUCAUUUUCCUUGCUUUCAAGGUUUUAUUCUUAAACACACACACACACACCAAAAAUGGUAACAAUUUCCUUAUUUUACUUUCUCAAGUUUGUUAGAAACCCAGCUCUAUACACAAAACAGGAAUUGGAAUACACUGAAUGCUUGUGGCUGCUGUGCCCUGGUACUCUAUGACAAUGACACUUAUACUCACUUACUUUUAGUAACUUAUUCAUGUUUUGCUCAUGUAUAAAAUUAACAUUCUUUAAGAGAACCAUAAGUGUGAAGGCAACUUGUACUCCAUUAUGUUAACAGAAUCAUGUUCAAAUUCUAGUAUGUUAUAAAUAAUCUGUGAACUCAAUGUAUGAACUCUGUUAUUAACUGAACCUGGUCACCUUUUCAUUUUUCCCCUAAUUUUGGAAAAAAGUGAAUUUUAUUAUUAAAACGACACAUGUUCAAGUCUAAACUAUUUCACUCUCUAUAAAUUACAAAACACUAGAAGUGUAGUUGAGCUUAAAAUGAUCUUCGUUUUCUUUGGUUCACAGGAUUUUUGUUUGUUUUCAUCAGGUAUUUGUGAGGUAUUACUCUUGCAGUUACUUUUAGUGGAGACUUUUGCAGUAUGUGCCCCCAAUCCCCAUACACACAUUUACCUAUUCGUACCAUGUGGGCUUCCCCCAACUUAGGCAACUACAGCUUCCCACAUUCAGGCCUCUGCUGUAGCAGGGCCAAAAAACAAAUAAGGACAUUGGAAAUUCUUGGCAAAUUUAUUUUGAAAAUUUGGCAGAGCUAAUGAUCUUGUCAUAAAACGUUUUUUUGUUUGUUGCUUUGUUUUCUUUCCACUUGAGUUAUGUAUAUCAAAAGGAAUGCCUUGAAGCAUGAGGAUAUAAAUUCUGCAUCAUAUCUAAUAGAGUUUCUUGGAAAAAGUUAAGGUCAUGCAGAGCCAGUUCCUCCUCACUCAUUCCACCAACUCAAAAUAGGUGUUCUGUAUUCACACUGUGAGGAAAAGGAAUUCACUAGUGGAGGCAAGAUUAUAAAUGCUGGGGUGGCCCUGGGAAAGGGCCUUGACCUCUUGGGGCUUCGGGAUCUGACAGCAGGGGGAUACUUCCUCCCGGAAUGGAAUAUGGGGAAACAGCAAGUCUUGCAGCAGAGUUGAGAUGGCUGUAUGCAGCAGCUAGGCCAUUGGGAAAGGGGUGUCAAAAGUCUCAUGAGAGCAGCAGGAAGUUUUCUGUUGUAGCAGAGUGGCAUAAACUUGAUGGAGCCCAGAGUACCAAAGAGGCCUUGAGAUUGGAACAAGAAGUAUGCAGGAGCCAUCUACCAGACCUGACUACUGCAGACUAGACAGGAUGUGAGUUUCUGGGAGGCCAGUGUGGGCUCAUAGUGAUUGAGAAUUGGGUACCAGCUUCUGCCAACACCAUGGCAUUUUAUAUGCCCUGUGAAAGUUGUAUGCAACCUUUGGAACAGGUUCGAAUAAUCCCUAGAUAGAUUGAAAAUGACUUCGAUUGGCUGAGAUUUUGUGUGUUCUCCAUGUGGCAGAAUUUGGGUUUAAGACAAAAAGUUAAGCUACAGAAAGGUAAAAUUACUUUUUUUACAGUUGAUUAUGUGACUAAUUAACAUCAACUAGAUGUUAUUUUAUUCAUCUGAUGAAAUUUAGUGGUAUAUAUUUUGGGAAAAGUAGAAUGGUAGCACACUGUGAAACAGAGGUUUUAAUAUAGAGACACCUAUAUUGAAGGACAAGAUAGCCUAUUAAAAUGUAGAGAGGAUUUUGCGACCUUUAUGAUGCUUCCCAUCCAAUAGAAAUUCAACAUUUUAAUAUUGGCUUACAUAAUUUUCAUAAAUAAUGGUUUUAGAUUCAAAGGACAAUUACAGAAGCAUGAAGGAGAUGGGUCAAGGGUAAAUACGUUUGUAAAUCACACCUUCAACAUUCUUCCCCCCUUCGCCUUCUGGAAUGGAAUUUUAAUACUUUGUGGGUAAGUGUAGAACUUAGUUUCAAACACCGACAUACUGAAAGGAACAGAAGAUUUUUUACACUUUGUGGAUAAGUGUAGAACUCAGUUUCAAACACUGACAUACUGAAAGAAACAGAAGUUUUAGGAAAUCUUACACACCUGUGCUAUGGAGAUGCAUUGCACUGGGAAUGGGACUCAACCUAACUCAUCAGCUGCACAUCUAACACUCUUCUGUUAUACCAAACUAUACUUUCUCCACUCUCUCUGAGAGGUCCUACUUGUAUAAUUGUAACAUAAUCUUUCUAUAUUAGGGUCAUGGUCUACACAUAUGUCCCAAAUUCCUCAAUUUCCACAGACAUAGUAAAAUUUCCAUUGCCUGGUAAAUUUUGUUUUCUUUGGAUCACAAGAUUUUUGUUUUGUUUUCAUCAGGUAUUUAUGAGGUUUUCCUCACAAAUAUACAUUGCCAUAGUAAAUUUCCAUGCUUGGGCCUCUGAAAUAGGACAUGAAGGAGGCUAAGAAGGAGACAGAACUCAGCUAUUUGUGUAAUUUUCUAUCUUAGCAUUCAUGUAUUCAUUUGACAUAUUUACUGAAUGUCUACAUGUGUCAUGUGCCAGGUUAGGUACUGAGUAUAUAGCAGUGAACAACAUAGACAAAGUCCCUGACUGACUUCGUAGAGCUUAGAAUCCAGUGAGACAAGACAGCACUCACUAAAUAAACAGUACAUCUGGUGGUAAUGAGGGUUACGAAGACAAAAGAGAGGUAUGAUGUAGUGGUUUAUUCAUUUCUUUUUUUUUUUUUUUUAAUUGAUGGUUUGGAAAGGUGGCUUUUCUAUUCUGUGGUAACAUUUGAAGGAAGUGAAGGAGCUAGUCAUAAGGAUAUCUAGUACAAAAGCAUUCCAAAAAACAGAGCAUAGCAAUUCUAAGUGUCUGAGGUAGGGGCUCACUUAGUGUGGUUUUGGUGAAAGGCAAAAGGACCAGAGUAGCUGGAGCGGAGUGAACACUGGAGAGAAUCUUAGAAAAUAAGCUAAGAAAGGGAGCAGAACGUUGGCUUUACUUAUGAAUGUAAAAUAAAUCUUCAGGACUAGUGCUAUUACCUGCCUUACCUUUAUGGACCACUCUGUACUGUGGAAAAUGGAUUGUAAGUGGGAAGGGUGGCUGCAUUGAGGCAAGAUGUGAAGCUAGCAUAACACAGAGGAGAGAUCAUGAAGGCUCAGACUUAGACCAUUGCGGUAGCAGUGUUGGCAAUGAGGAAUGAUUAGAUUCUCCAUAUAGGACAAAAGUGGAGCCUAGGAUUUACUGGCUGAAUUGGUUAUGAUGUGUGAAAGAGAGAGUUAAUGAUGCCUUAUUUAUUUUUUAUAUUCAGGUUACAAACAAAGAUAGAUGCUUUAUAAAAGCAAACAUUUGAAAAUCUGCUUUGACAUUAGUAGACAGUUACAGAUGUGCAUGCUCCUUCUGAUCUCUAUUACACUUGAUCUAUCUCUUUGGAAUCCAUAGAAGGGAAAAAUUAAUUUUAUAUUUUGAAUACUCUAUAUCUUCUUUGGGUCCAUUCUGAUAGUCACUUAAUUGCUCUUAGAAGCAUUAUGAGAUUUACACAGUUAUUUUCUUUAGAUGCCACUAUUUAAACAUAUAUGAAGAACUCAUUCAACAAGUGUAAAACUUGCUUAAUAUUGAUCCAUUGUUGAAAAUUUGAGAGAAAAUUUACUAUUAUGUAAAUUGAAAGGGACAAGUAAAUAAAAAAAGAACAUGUAAAUUUCUUUAUGUUCCAUUUUAAACCAUUAUUUCUUAUUCAUAUCUAAGUAGAUCUACAUAUAACCUGCCAAUAAGGCAGAGGUUCUGAAUUUGGCUUUCAGGGAGACCAUGAAACUUCCCAAAUUGUGCAUAUAUUCCUUUUUCUUGGAAGAGAGAUUCUAUUUUCCAACAUAUUUACAAAAGGGUUUUUAAAAGUUAAAAAUGUUAAGAACAACUAAAUUGAAUGGUUAAGGAAUUAGAAAAUCAUUGGUGGGACUGAAGCUCCUCACUGAUUAGCUAAAUUAAUAAAGGAAAAUUUUGAAAGAUUUUUGGAAGAUUACUUUAAAAUUAUCUAUUUUACACUUAACCAUCUGCAAUUUAAAAAAUUAUUUUUGAGGUGGCUGGACGGUUGUAAUUUUUGUUUAUUUUUAAACUUCUGAAUAAAAGUUCAAUGAACAAAACAAUAAUUAAACUUAAAAUAUUACAUCAUCCUAAAUUGUCUAGAAACAUACUUGGGGCUUACCUUAAAAUCAGGUGUUGUCACCACAAUUACUUGUUAAUCUACAAAACCUUUUCAAAGUCUUGAGCACUAACACUGUACUUGUACUCAGGUUUCCCUGAAAUGUGCAAUUAAACUGAAAACCAGGAAAGAAGCUACAAAUCAUAGGAUGGAAAGGCUAUAAUAAUCUGUUUGUCUAGAAAAAAUUAAUUGAUUAUGUAAUUGGGUAUGCCAUUGUACACUGGCUAACACAUUUAAUUCAUAUGGAUGUACUUCAGUGGGACAAUUGAUUCAAAAGUAUUGUGCUUGAAGAUUAAAUAUGUAGAACUGAUAUUUACUUAGAAAUGUAAAUACAUGUGGUGGUUGAAUAGUCAGCUAUAGCCAUCAGUUGAUGCUGACUCUCCUUGUAUUAUUGUUUAAAAACAAAACAAAAUAAUAACAAGUGUAAUUGUUUCAUUUCAUAUGUGGAAAUUGAUAUUAAUAUUUAUAGGCCUCUGGGAUAGCAUUUAGUAUACUGCUGUAGAAUAAUAGUUUGGUAGUUAUAACAGUUAAGUGUCUUAAAUAUUAUAUGUAUCCCUUAAUAUAUUUCUGCUGAUAAGGGAUCCUGGGGAUGAUGUAGUUAUCAAUGCCAAAUAAAGACUACUGCAGGAAUUAAUAAUUGAAACACUUAUUAACUGUAUUUGUAUCUUUUUUACAAUGAUGUGAUUUAAUUUGAUGAUAACAUUCAAUGAUAUUGACUGUUUCCAGCAUAUUUGAAUGGCAUAAACCUGACUUUCAAAUUUGUGGUCAGCUCAUUUUGACUUACAUCUUUCUAGUUGUAAAAGGUGUGUUAGUCUUGAAAACAAAAUGAAAAUAAAUGUAUAAAAGAUACAAAGUUGUCUUUAACUCGAAUAUUUAUAUGCCUAAAAUUCCUGAGUUAGCAAUGAACUUUAAGUUAUCGAGUGUUCUUUUCCGGCACUGCUGUAGCAGACACUGAUACCGUCCUGUCUAUGUCACUACUUUCCUUAUCACUGCAGUCCACGUUAGCUCAAUUUCCAACUGCCAGCAUGUGGAUUUCUUUUCCUGAAGGCUUUCUUUGUCCGCUGGAGCCUGCUCUGCUACCUGUACAGUAGGACAGAAGUGCUCAGGAAAUAAUGCUGUUUGGUACCCAAGAACAGGCUUCCACAAGUUACCUGAGAAGUCCUCAUCCAAUGAUCUCAAGAGGGAUAACUUUGAUGCGUGUAUUGUAUACGGAUUCACCAAACCCCACGGUGGUAACUUGCUUGAUGGAACACACUUUACUAAACUACUUUUUUCUGCUUCAAAUCUUCACUUCCUUACUUCUUCAUUAUUGAUGCCUCAUAUAAUCACCUUUAAUAUAAAUUACUUUCAUUCAAACCUUUGUCUCAGGAAAUGCUUCUAGGGGAAUGGACACUAAGAUAUAUAUAGAUUGAAAAAAAUUUAUUUGAUCAUGAUAUUUGCUCUCAAUCACAAAUAUAAAAUGAUAUCUUUUGUGAAUGUAGAUUUUAAAAAUCACAUUUAUCGAGGUAUAAUUUACACACAAUAAAGUACAAUCAUUUUAGUUGUACAGUUCAAUAAAUUUGAUACAACUAUGUAAUUUCCUUCAUUAUAAUCAAGAUAUGGAACAUCUCUCUCUAAAACAUUCCCUCAUGCCCCUUUGUAGUGAAUCCCCAUGACCCCCACUAUCGAUUCCUCACUAUUGAUUAGGUUUCUUAUUCUAGAAUUUUAUAUAGAAGGAAUCAGAGUAUAUACUCUUUUUUUCUGGCUUCUUUAACUCUGCAUUAUGUUUUUGAGAUUCAUUCAUUAUGUUUUUCAUGAAUCAAUAGGUUUUACUUAUUGCUAAGUAGUAUUCCAUUGCAUAGAAAUGCUACAAUUUGUGUAUGCACUUAUUUGUUGAUGGGCAUUUAGGUUGCUUUCAGCUUUUGGCUAUUAUGAAUAAAACUGC